AUUCUGAGGCACUCAAAACACUCUCUGCCCCGGGUCUGUUUUCUGUUUAAAUUUCAGACUCUAUAACUCUACACCCUGCUGGCUCCACAUCUAUCCAUGUCUUCAAUGUCCCCACCCUUCAGAUGCGCCUUGCAUGGGACUCACCUGGCUCUUGUGGAGAAGCCACGAUCCGGGAGACCGAGCUGAGCAAGCCGCUGCACAUUGGUGUGGUGAGGAUGCUGUGCCUAGCUCUCUUGCAUCGGUUCCUUAGGAUGGACACUUCCUGCCCCCAAGCCUGAGGCCCCUUUGGCUGGUAACCUGCAGGGACACACUGCCAGGGCUUAGGAAUGAAGCAGAGGUCACACUGUCUGUGACAAAGGGCGUACCAGCUUUUGGAACUGUUCACGUGGACAGACACCUGGAUAAAAGUAUAACCAACAAGGCCCCGCUGUGGGAUAGGACUGUUAUCCUCAGGCCUGUAACCAUCCAUCCGGACCUCAGUUCUCUGGAUCCUCUGCUUGGGAGGUCUCCUUCCCCCAAAAGGGACAUCGUGGCCCAGCUUGGCAGGGAGCUGGGAAGCCAAUGCUGACGAGAGGUGACCCCACCUUGAACUCUGCUGGCAAGGAAGUGCGGUCCAUAAGGAGAACAGGAGUCUGGGCUUCUUCACUCUCUUGGCCGCCCAAAUUCCACAGCACUGUCACACCCCAGCCCUGGCAGGCAGCACCCACGUGAGAAGAAGCACAGUUGCAAGCCACAGCCGUCCCAGCUGAAGUCACUGUUCCAGGUGAUCCAACAGGGCUGGAACUCUGGCUGACACUACACCCACUCAUCAGGUCUCAAAAGUCACUCCCCGCACCCACCAAGUAGUAGAAACGUUUCUUUAAAAGGAGC
rnacentral:lncRNA from 1 species